AGCGAACGCUGGCGGCAGGCUUAACACAUGCAAGUCGAGCGGGCGUAGCAAUACGUCAGCGGCAGACGGGUGAGUAACGCGUGGGAACAUACCUUUUGGUUCGGAACAACACAGGGAAACUUGUGCUAAUACCGGAUAAGCCCUUACGGGGAAGAUUUAUCGCCGAAAGAUUGGCCCGCGUCUGAUUAGCUAGUUGGUGAGGUAACGGCUCACCAAGGCGACGAUCAGUAGCNGGUCUGAGAGGAUGAUCAGCCACAUUGGGACUGAGACACGGCCCAAACUCCUACGGGAGGCAGCAGUGGGGAAUAUUGGACAAUGGGCGAAAGCCUGAUCCAGCCAUGCCGCGUGAGUGAUGAAGGCCCUAGGGUUGUAAAGCUCUUUGUGCGGGAAGAUAAUGACGGUACCGCAAGAAUAAGCCCCGGCUAACUUCGUGCCAGCCGCCGCUGUAAC
rnacentral:rRNA from 1 species